ACCCUUUUCCAGUUCAUAAACAUGAUAAUUGUGUAUUCACAUGUUUGUGUGACAUGUGCCUCCCUUAAAACUUGUUAUGCAUUUGACACAUUACCCAUCUAAUG